UUUCGAAUCAUUCACAAUGGGCGAAAGCCUGAUGGUGCGACGCCGCGUGAGGGAUGAAGGCCUUCGGGUUGUAAACCUCUGUCACCGGGGAAGAAACACUUCAAUUAAACAGCUUGAAGUCUGACUUAACCCGGAGAGGAAGCAGUGGCUAACUCUGUGCCAGCAGCCGCGGUAAUACAGAGACUGCAAGCGUUAUUCGGAUUCACUGGGCGUAAAGGGUGCGCAGGCGGCCGGGUGUGUCAGAUGUGAAAUCCCGAGGCUCAACCUCGGAACUGCGUCUGAAACUACUCGGCUAGAGUAUUGGAGAGGGUAACGGAAUUCACGGUGUAGCAGUGAAAUGCGUAGAUAUCGUGAGGAACACCAGAGGCGAAGGCGGUUACCUGGACAAUUACUGACGCUCAGGCACGAAAGCGUGGGGAGCAAAAG
rnacentral:rRNA from 1 species